CCUGAAAGCAGUCCGUCCCCCCUGGCAGAGUGAAAGUUGUCUCCGCUCGGAAAAGCGGGGGUUCGGGACUCGCUAGUUUCCACCGCCGCUGCUUCACACGCUUUCUCCCGGAGAGAUGAGGCGGAAAGAGAAGAGGCUGCUGCAGUUCGCCGGGCUGCUCAUAGCGGCUCUUCUUUUCCUUCCCAACGUCGGGCUGUGGUCUUUGUACCGGGACCGAGUGUUCGACAACUCGCCGGACACAGUGGACGGAAUCCCGAUACAGGGGAUGAACCAGAUGAGGAAGGUUGCUCAGGUGGGACUCGAUGGUGUGCGGCGGACAGACUGGCACGACUACGAAACAAUGAGGAGAGAUGCUGCUCGCUCAGGUAACGGUGAACAAGGGAAGCCGUUUCCUCUGACAGAAACUGACAGGGUCGACCAGGCCUACAGGGAGAACGGCUUCAACAUUUACAUCAGCGACCAGAUCUCCCUCAACCGUUCCCUCCCUGACAUCCGCCAUGCAAACUGUAAACAGAAGCUGUAUGCAGAGAAGCUGCCCAACACCAGCAUCAUCAUCCCGUUCCAUAAUGAGGGCUGGUCGUCGCUGCUGAGGACUGUUCACAGCGUGCUUAACCGCUCUCCUCCACAGCUCAUAGCAGAGGUCAUCCUGGUCGACGACUUCAGUGACAAAGAGCACCUAAAGGUGGCACUGGAGGAGUACAUGAUCCGGAUGCCAAAGGUUCGUAUCCUGAGGACCAAGAAGAGGGAGGGGCUGAUCAGGACUCGCCUGCUGGGAGCCGCCGCCGCUAAAGGAGAAGUCAUCACUUUCCUGGACUCCCACUGUGAGGCCACCUUCAACUGGCUGCCUCCGCUGCUGGACCGAAUCGCCCAGAACAGGAAGACCAUUGUGUGUCCGAUGAUUGACGUGAUCGACUACGACAACUUCGGCUAUGACACACAGGCAGGGGACGCCAUGCGAGGGGCGUUUGACUGGGAAAUGUACUACAAACGGAUACCAAUCCCUCCAGAGCUGCAGAGGGACGACCCCAGUGAACCGUUUGAGUCACCGGUGAUGGCAGGUGGACUGUUCGCUGUGGACAGGAAGUGGUUCUGGGAGCUGGGAGGAUAUGACACGGGUCUGGAGAUCUGGGGAGGAGAACAGUACGAGAUCUCUUUCAAGGUGUGGAUGUGUGGUGGUCGAAUGGAGGACAUACCUUGCUCCAGGGUAGGACACAUCUAUAGGAAGUAUGUCCCCUACAAGGUCCCUGGUGGGAUCAGCUUGGCAAAGAACCUAAAACGCGUGGCCGAGGUGUGGAUGGACGAAUACGCCGAAUACGUCUACCAGCGUCGGCCCGAGUACCGCCACCUGUCCGCAGGAGACAUGACGGCCCAGAAGGAGCUGAGGAACCGCCUCAACUGCAAGAGCUUCAAGUGGUUCAUGAGCGAGGUGGCCUGGGAUCUGCCCAAACACUACCCACCGGUGGAGCCUCCUGCUGCUGCCUGGGGAGAGAUACGAAACAUGGGUAGUGGGAUGUGUAUGGAGAUCAAACACUUUGUGUCAGGGAGCCCCAUCCGUAUGGAGAGCUGUGUGAAAGGGCGUGGUGAAGUGGGCUGGAGUCAUGGACAGGUGUUAACAUUUGGUUGGAGGGAGGAUAUCCGGGUGGGUGACCCCAUGCACACAAGGAAGGUCUGCUUCGAUGCCAUCUCUCACAACAGCCCCGUCACCCUGUACGACUGUCAUGGCAUGAAGGGGAACCAACUGUGGCGCUACAGAAAGGAUAAGAGUUUGUAUCACCCCGUCAGUAACAGCUGUAUCGACAGCAGCCCGAGCGAGCGGAGAGUCUUCAUGAACACGUGUGACCCCUCCUCCCCCAGCCAGCAGUGGCUGUUUGAGAGAACCAACGCCACCGUGCUGGAGCACUUCAACCGGGGCACCAACCGAGGCCACUGAAUGGUGAGAUGAGGCGGCUUCCAAAGAAAAAGAUACAAUGAUCAGAUAAAAAUGGAAGCUACACAUGAAUAACAUGCUGCUUCGGAAACAUUCCCUGUGGUACAGCAGUGAUCCAGUGCUGAGCUGAAGAGCUGGUCGGACCACACACAACAACUUCCAGUAUACAAACAUACAGCAUCAGCUUGUGAUAUGGAAGGAGGGUGGUAGAACCACAGUGAAACCUGAUUGUCCGGUGGGAACCCAGAAAACACAGAGCUCUUACAGACUGAAGUUUGGACCUGAAGAAUUUCUAAGAGUCAAAAAUGCGAUGCUCCUGUCUUUCAUUGCUAGUUUAAAUCUGCUAAACACAAACUCUGCUGGAUUUAAUGGAUAGUCUAUUAUCUAGCCUCUUUUUACCUUGUCUUUUUCAAUUGUUGCCUUAACAAUUCCAACACCGAAAUACCUGCUCCCUAUAUUUUCAUCGAAGGUACCAAAACAGCAUAUGGUGACAUAUGUGGGACUUUUUUGCAAGCUAUAACUCUAUGGAAAUGACUCCUGCACAGUGUGCAGAUGCAUUGCAAGAAUAUGUCUUUUAUUGAAGAAACAAAAUCUUGUACAGACUAAUAUUUAAAGUGCAUAUAUAUUUUUUUUCUACUGAGCAAUAAAGUGACAUUUACAUA